GACUCUGUGGCGCCACGGUAGCGCGUCUGACUCCAGAUCAGAAGGUUGCGUGUUCAAAUCACGUCAGGGUCA
rfam:Biomphalaria glabrata isolate BB02 unplaced genomic scaffold LGTN_random_Scaffold797, whole genome shotgun sequence.